AGAGAGAGAGAGAGAGAGAAGACAAUACGCUUUUUAGUUUCACAUGUUGCAAUAUAAGAAAUGCAAGGCCAAACUCCAAAACCGUUACUGAAAUUCAAGGUAGAUUGGAGAAAGGUAUGGCUGAAGGGUUUACAGGGGAUCAGCAAGUGAAAUUUAGCUCCAGAUCAUGUCCGCUAUUGUCAUAAGUUUUGAUGUCAUGGUUCUUCUUUUCAUAUAUUUCAGCAAGUAUUGAGAGUUGCUUGAGUUUCUGCCUUUCUGGUCAUAGAUUCUUUCUCACAAGAACCAUGAAAUUCUCGCUAUAACGGGCAAUGACUAUGUCCCAAGGUGAGCAGUUUCUGAGCCAGUCCUCCCCCAGCAUCCUCCAUUAAUAAAUGGUCUUGAUAUGGGAAAUCAGAUCCUCCUUUUUCUUUUGAAUGGUAACUGGUUUUAGUGUGACAGAGUCCUUUCCAUACUUUAGAUGGUUCUGUACAAAGGACGACUGGCUGUGAAAACAUAUAUGCACCUAUUUCUGAUACCCAAUCAGAAGGACAAGCCUUUUUGAGCUAGGUUUUUAAGCAGCCAUCGGUUGAUAGAAUGUAAGCUUCUAAGGAUUGAACUCUUAUCAGCAAUGUCAGGCAUCACUUGUGCAAUUGUCAUAAGCAGCUUACUUGUUUCUUAAAUGAAUCAAAGAGAAGGGCUUAAUCAAAGGAUAGAGCCAAGGGGAAAUCAAUCUUUUAGGCAUGAAUGCUCUUUAAGUGAGUUCUUUCUCAUAUGCAUGAGCUAGCCAAACAGGAUCUCCUUCUCCAAUGUCCUAUGUUGUUGUUCCUAUUUUUUUUCUGGUUUAAUUUAAUGUUAGAAGCCGCUUUCCUUCUGUAACCUUUAGGGCUUCUUUUGUAGUAAGGAAAAGGGAGGGGAAAAUGGUAGGCAAAGGGAAAAAAAUUAAUUCCCUUUUUUUGUUGGAAGGGAAAAGGAAGGAAAGAUUAAAAGUACAAUUCCCCUGUUUUGUAAGAAGGAAAAGGAGAAAGUAAAAAAAUUGUGAUGAUUUGUUUGGAAAAUGCUCAAAGAGGAUUUUGAGCCAUUUUGUUUUCCGCCCAAAUUGGGCGGAAAGAGUGGAAAGAAAUGUAAAUUUUCUAUUUUCUAUUUUCUAUCUAUGCCCUUUUUUCCCUCCAAUAAUUAUUUUUUAGUAUUUUAUUUAUUCAAUAUGGACAUAAUAGUAAAAAUAUAAUAAUUUUCUCCCCUCACUUUUCUUUCCUUCAAAACAUGGAAAAUAAACAAAUCACUUCUUUUCCACUCCUUUCUCUAUAGAAAAGAUUUGUAUGGAAAUUAAUAAUUUUUCUUUUUAUAGGGAUUUUACUUUCCUUAUGAUUCCACUCACUUUUCUUUCUCCAACUUUCCUUUCUACAAAACAGGCCCUUAGGACAAAAAGGAAAACAACCUUACACUGUCCCAACAUCCAUGACUUUAAAGCAAUGCAGAUAUUUUACAGCACAGAAGGGCAAGACAAAAUGAAAUUAUGUAAGAUUUGAUAAACCCCCUUUGGUCCAGCUAGCCUUAUUAGAGUCAUGUAGGUUUCUCACUAUCCAUGAAACAAGGUCAGGAUCAACACAAAUUGGAAAAUUAUGCACCAAGCCUUUGAAGGAUGGGCUUGUAGGUUUCUCACUUUCCCUGACACAAGGCCAGGAUUAUUAAACAUUGGAAAAAUAUACACCAAACAGAAUCAAUGGUUUCUCACUUUGAGAGAUGAGGUUUAGUUCACUAUUCCUACAAUUUCUAGGCUGGAAUUGUCCUUUUAUUUUCCAUUAAUUCCUCCAGACAGAAUGCGAUUGAAAGAAUCAGCUUUCACCCAAAUGAGUAAUAAAAAUUCAAAGGUCAUGCAGUUUGUAGUCUUGCUCUAGACGCACUGAAAGGGCAAGAUGGUUAAUCAAAAAGAAAAUUGUGAUACCAUAACUCAAAACAACUAAAGUGACAAAGAAAUGGUGGGGGGGCCUCGGAAAAGGUCCCUUGACUCGCUUAGAGGGGAAUAUAUAUAUAAUACAUACAGGAGAAAGACAAAGAAAGGGAGAUUAUAUGGUGACAUUUGUAUUGAUCAAAAUUAACCAUAACAACAUAUUAAUUUUAACUAUCAACCAAAAGCAUGUGAAAUUUAAACCAGUACACACAUAAGCAUCCAUGUGCAUGGUGACUCCAAUGAAGAUAACAAAACAAGGGAUAAAGAGAAUGCAAAACUGAAGAAGGUAUAGAUCAUAGUCUUCCAAGGUAAAUACAAGGAAACAGAACAAACCUCUGAUACCAGCAGCUAUUGGCAACAAAUUAAGGAACACAAGAAAAGCAACUUAAGAAAAAGUACUUUGAGCUUCAUUGAGGGUGCUAAUAAAAAUUCUUAUACUUGUUCAAGUGCAAAGAGAAUGAAAACAACCAAGCAACUUGUUUCAAAUUCUGUCUACUAGCAGCCUAACCAACAUAUUCCUGUAUCAUAGCCACUAUCCAAGAAAUGCACAUUUUGGUUUAAACUAAAAAAAAAACAAGCUUUGUAAAUCUUAAUUUAGAUGAUGAGUGGAAUGCUUCAUCUUAUAUCCGACAUUUAUAGUUUCUGGGAUGUGACAAAAACAUUAAUACCACUUCACUAGAUUCCUUUGGAGUCGCAGUGGAAUAAUAAGCCUAACUAUCAAAAAGUUAUCCUAGGCCAACUCAUCACUUCACGGUGCUCGAUAGACAUUAACGAUAUAACAGUUGUAAUUGCCAAAGGUCCCAUUUCAGAACUGAGGAACUAACCUUAGGAGGAUAAGUGAAAAGGAUCGCGUUCUUCUCUUUUGUGUAUAUAAUCAGCUGCAACAAUCCAUUGAAGACUACAUACUUGCCAGAGUCAAAGAUUAAACAAAUCUGAGUUUAACUUCCAAUCAUUUCCUUGGAACAUACCAAGAAAAAUAAGGGGUAAAACCAAUUUUCAAGUAAUACUCUCACCCUCAAAUUCACUAAAACCUGAAUUAGGAUAAGAGGCCCAUAUAAUUGCAAUUUUCACAUUCAAAGAAACAGACACCAGGAAAAAAAAUUUCCAUCCUCCUUCCUGGGACAUAAAUUCUAAAUCUCAAUCCAUGCAAUUUAGGUUUUGAAAAUGACACUAUUUGACCUGCUGGAGCUCAGAUGAGGAAAGAAUUUAAUUUCCUCAGUUUUUUAGAUACUGAGGAUUUAUUAAACAAAACUCAAACCAAUAACCUACACGCAAAAUGAACCAAGCCAGCAGGCUCAUGCAACUAAUUUACAAAAUUAAAAAAACUCAAUUAAUGAAUGUGAGCAACACAAAUAAAAAUGGUUUCUAAGGAUAU
rnacentral:misc_RNA from 1 species